GGAAGAGAAGGAGCAGCUCCAGCUGCAGUGCUGCACUGUGGAGAUCAGAGAUCCUGAGGGAAAGAACCCAUCAAAUCCCACUCAGGAGCUAUUUUUCAGGAGGAUCCCUAGGGAAGAUCCAAGUCAGGACACCUCAGGAGGGGGACAAAGAAUGAAGCUUCCUGGUUUUUAUGACGGCAAUCAAGCAGCGGUUGUACCUCCAAAUCAAG